CAUCAGAUGACUGAAAGCAAGUAAUGGUCUCUUAAACCAUAAAAUGGUGAACUAAUAAACACCUCUGAUGA
rnacentral:tRNA from 1 species